CAUGAAUCGUAGCCAUUGUUGAUAGCAUCCGAGACCCCAACCACAACUCCAACAAUGUUUAUGAUUAACAAAGUUGUGGGAGGGAUUAACAAUGAUGUCCAUUUGAAUAGGUAAAGCUCUGAAAAUUCCCCAUCAUCACCUCCUUUUGAGGUGACAGUGAAAUUUGUGUUGACACCAGCCAAAACCUUGAGCAAACCUUGAAACAGAGCAAAUAGAUGUGAUGAAACACCUCCAAUUACCCAAAACUGCUCAUUUCUCCACCAGUGAUCUAUCCCAACACCACCCCACUGCAUCUCAAGAAUACCAGUUGCAGCUAUAGAUAUGAAGAG
rnacentral:misc_RNA from 1 species